GUCCGCACUGUAAACGAUGAUCACUCGUUGUUGGCGAUACACUGUCAGCGACUAAGCGAAAGCAUUAAGUGAUCCACCUGGGGAGUACGACCGCAAGGUUGAAACUCAAAGGAAUUGACGGGGGCCCCGCACAAGCGGAGGAGCAUGUGGUUUAAUUCGAUGGUACGCGAGGAACCUUACCUGGGCUUGAAAGACUAAUUACAGUCUCUGAAAGGAGAUUUUCCGCAAGGACAGUAGUCUAGGUGCUGCAUGGCUGUCGU
rnacentral:rRNA from 1 species